AACAAAACCAACCAACCGGCCAAAAACCCAAAGCAAACCAACCUGAAGACCUUCAGAAGAGAUGAGGAGGAAGUGAUUUUCAAAUAAUGGCAACAGAUUGGAAGGCAGAAGGUGGAGAGCACCUACUCAAGUUUCAAGCAAGAGAAUAUUAAAACUUCAUGGAUUAGAACACCCAGACAGGUUUUGGAGCAAUCGUGGCAGCUAGGUAAAAAGCGAGCUGGGUUCGAGGAACCAGGCUGCAGCACAGAUACAAUGAGGGGAGAGUGCUCCAGUCCUGCAGCACUGCCAGUGCUCACUGGCAGAGGAAUUUGCUGGAUCCAGAUGUCCCAGUUCCACUGAAGUUCAGUGGAUGUCCUGGAUACAGGCAGUCUGUCACAUACACCACGCUGUUGCAAACACAUGGCACAACUUCCCAAGAUGUCCCUUGAGGAGGAGCACUCCUGGGCGGUUCGUGCAGCAGGAGGCACACCUCACAGCCAUCCUGCUGCAGCUAGCACUGAUGUUAAACGACUCUGUGCCAAUCACACUACUGCAGCAAAUGCCAAAUGAAUUUGAUGUUGAACACUUACAUUCUUACCUUUCUCAAUAACUCUGUUAAUAUUACAUUAAUUAUUCCUGAAUUACAAUGCUGUUGAAUGUUGAUAAAGCUGAAUUCCUUCUUGAAAUGCUGAUCCUGACAGUCCUGUGGCAGGCACUAAAAUGUGCUUCCAGGUCUUAAGGGAAAAGAGGAAUAUAUUACUACUUCUGAUGAGAGGACUUCAGAAGAAACAUAUUCUAGUCACAUCUUGUGGAGCACUCGCCUGAAUCCCUCUUGCUUUCAGUAGCAGAUGCCUUUGCAUAAGACAUAAAAGGAAUAUACUCAUCACUUUUUUAGUUAAAAUUUUAUAGUGAUUGCUGAUGUAGAAUCAGCUCAGCGUGUAUGAACUGUUCCCCACAACAGCAGUGCUGUGUGCAUACGGAGCUGAUCCUUGCCUCACGAGAGCUGAUGCACCAGAGCAAAGCUGGCAGGAUGAACACGGAGAGAUCACUUCUUACUGUGCUGCACUAGUGAGACUUCCAGCUAUGAGAAGGAAACGUGAUGGAAGGGAGCAGGCAGACCCCAAAGCACUGUUUUCCAAGCAUAGGAUGGGGCCUUUACUAGAAUCAACUCCAGCACCUGGGAUCCUUUUAAGAAGAAGCAAGAGCACUGUGUGUGAUCCAAGCAUUCAGAAUCCAUGACACAAAUCCUCAGAUGUGGUGAAACCGCCUUUGUUAUCACCAGAGUCUAUAGGAGGAGAAAUUGAUGCGGGAUUUCUGAAAUAAAACUAUGCCUCCAGCCUAAGUUAUACAUGAAAAAGUGGUAAAUGAUGCAGCUGACCCCAGCCUGGUUUGCCCUGGACAAGAUCUGGCAUUGUUUUAGACACUGUGAUACAGCAGAGCAUCUGCAAAGGAGGAAAACAACUCUUGCUGUACUGCAUCGCAGCUUUGGAUAGCUUGAAGGACAAACCUUCCAGAAAAAUGAAGGUUCUGCCACAUGUUUCCCAUAACCAGCCAAAUAAAAUAUUAUGUUUUAAAGCAUUCAAGCCUGAUGUGUUACAACACAGCUUGGAGAUGAGAUGGGACACUGUCUUGGAGCUUGAGGUCUGUCUGGGCCCAGGAAAAUGGAUACGUUUGCAGUGUUGUUUGAAAGCUGCACCGACCUCAAGAAGGAGCCCUGAUUGUGGUGCCGGCACAACAGCAGAUGGCAGGGGAGCAAAUCGAGGCAAGCACCUCUGAUGCACAUGUGGACAGCUGAUACUGCCGUUUCCAAUUCUUAUCCUGAUUCACUACUCCUGAGAAUGUGAGCUAAGUUUUCUUUUUCUUUCCAAAAAGAACAUUUGGCAGGGUAACAUUCAGCAUCACAAGCUGGCCUUGAGAUGGGGUUUGCUCCAGCUUCCCUGCUGAGCCUCUGCGCACAGCUUGCUUCUAAAACAUGGCUCAGGCGCUGCUAGUUGCUGUGCUGUCACAGGGGCUGAUCCAGCACAGAACCUGCUUGGCAUUCUUGCAGAGAAAUUACCCAGUGCAGCAGCUCACAAUUUAUAAUUGAUUGCAUAUUAAUAUCCAAAAAAGGCAAUAAAAUCCACUCUGUGUUUUUACAAAAGGAAAAAAAAAGUACUACAAGCCGAGCAGCAAAAAUGUGGAGAACUCCUUGGCUGGCGCAGAGCUGUGCACACUGCUGCUUCUCCCUUAAUUACAAGCAGUUUAAAAUCAUCUCCUUCCUUCAAAGGAGGAUUUUGCUUGGUGUUUGCAUUAGUUUUAAUCUCACGAACGCGAUGCUCUCUUGGAACGUGUCCCUCGUGCUGUAACAGCAAGACAUGCUGCCGCUUUUGUCCCUGCCACUUGGGAAAGGCGCAGCUCCUGCUGCUUGUCCCUGCGGCCAUGGGGCUGUUGAUAUCAAUACACCACCCUUUAAAGGGAAAGAAAACAGAACAAAACCCAACAGCAGCUUUUUUUUUUCCCCGCAAAGAGUCCCCUUUUAUUUGUUGUGUUCGAGCCAGGCUGUGCAAGUGCUUCCUGAAAAUGGGUGAUUUAAAAUGUACUGCACUGCAUUGUAGAGGAAAGCUUGUUAUUCAGCAUACUAAUUAUUUCUGACUCCCUGUAUUUAUGAAAUGCCAUGUAAUAACUAGCUCACCACAAUGCAAAUAGCACAAAAUCAGCGCCUUUUAUCAUUUUGGCGCUUUAGUGCAUAAACAUAUUCUGAAGUCUCUUGGGGGAAGGGGGAGGAGGGGAGUUACUGGGAAUUAAAUAAUGUUUUUAUGACUUCUAAAACAUGGCACUGAAUUUCAUAAUCUGUAACACUCCGUGUACGUAGUCCACGUUAUGCAUUUUAUUAAGUCUCAGUGGCUUACACUGCAAAGGUCAGCUGCAAAGAGAAGAUGUACAAAGGCUGUUUUGUGGAACAGGGGGAGCAUCCUUGGGACAAGUUGUAAUUUCAUACCUAUGCCAUGCUGGGACACCAGAACUUCUCCCCAGCUACUUUUGCUUCAGGAAGGAUGAAAGCUGGGAUACAAAGCGUAACUAACUGAGGCUUUGUGGCCAGCACAUAUCACUAGAGGAUGAGUCUGGGGUUUGUCAAGCCCCAAAUGAACGACCCACUACCACCAGAGUAAUGCAGAGGUCUGAACAUCCACAGAUGGUAACUAGGAGCAAUUGACGUAUGAAGUAUGGGCUGCAGCUCCAGCUGUCUUUGCAGAGCGCUGUUGACAGGCUGUGUAAGAAGCAAUUAGGUUAUGAAUAAAGUAUAUGUUAAAAAAGAAGGCUCAAAGGUGAAAAGAAUUUCAGAGAAGACAAAGAGAAGUUACUACAAUGAGGAAAAAGCAAACAGUUUCAGAAAAUCAAGGAAGAAACUGAGGCCACAAUGAGGGCACAAUCCUAAAGGAUACCAAAAGCUGGAUGACAAAACUCGUUAACUUGUUCAGACCAUUUGCAAGCCAGCCAACACGACUGACUGGAAAUAAUACUGGGGAAUGUUCCUUGAAGAAAUCAGUUCUAACCCAGUAUUCUGUGUGGCAGAAUAAGGCAGUGCUGUCCGCAGUGUGUGGGUCUCCACCAUCAACACCCCAUCUUUCGUCUUGGCUCCAAGGGCUGAGCUGCUGCAACGUGGCUUCUGCAUUCCAGGAAUGUGGCUCCUGUCCUUGACCUCAUCUGUAGACAAAUACGUCGUCUCCCUUACUGCUGAGUGGUUUAGGAAGAAUUUCAGCCAGAUUGAGGUGGGAUAAAGGAAUUACACGUGAGGAUGUUUUUCCUCCUCCCUUGCAGAAACACUCUUGGCUUUACCUACAGAACCUCGGGCUGGGCAGGAGAACCUCUGGGAAGUGAAGCUGUUUGCAAAGGCUGUGACAUGAAGCCGCCACCCAGGGAAUGGGAUUUUGGGGCACUCCUUCUGGCCAGAGCACAGCAGGGUUUCACCACAUAGCAGCUGUGGGCUGAAGUCAAGCAGGAGAAACACUACACAGGUCAGCAGAUCAGGAGGUGAGUAUCAGGGUGGCCUGUUGGCCUCUGUCCGUGCCAGAGUGUUAACAAGUCCAACAGAACACAUCCUGUCUUUUUGCUGGUAAGGCAAAAUCCAAAUUGUGAUAUUGUUAUACUUAGUGCUACUUCCUCAAGAGCAACACAGAACAUGUUGCUUAAGUCUUAUACUUUCACUACAGGCUACGAUAGCAACAGGACUAGUUCUGCCAUGAGGGAGUCACCUUUUCUCAGGUGCCACUUUCAAAGUCAAGUUUUCAUUGCACAGAGAAAUGGAGUAUUCCACCUUCACCUCCCCUAAAAAAAGUUUUAAGUUAGCAGAGGGAACCUUCAAAACAUUUUUCCUUCCAAUACAGAAUGGCCAUUGGUGUCAUCAGCUGGUGUGGAAAGACAGCUCAGUGGAGUUGUUCCAGCAAAAAAAUAAGAAACAAAGGAAGAAGAGAGGAUUAAAAAACUGGUUCCAUUGCUGCAUACAUUUUGUGUUGUGGUGAAAUAAAGCAAAGAGCCAUCAGGCUCCUACGCUUCAACAGAACCCAGUGAGCAUCACAUAUCGCAGAACUGAAUUGUAAGGCACUGCAAAUCAAUCAGUCAGCAACAACACAUUGAGGAUCGGGACGGCGCUUUGCUCAGAUCUGGGGAAGUCUGUACAAAUGGUCCACUACCUUUGUUAAGGUGGGAUCAAACUUCUGAAGGGAUCCAGAAAGAUAAGGAAGUUUAAGAUGUAGCAGGUGAAGGCACAGCCCAUCGCCUCAGAAAGCUGAAUGCUCUUGCAAAUUUGAUAUAAUCCAAUUAGUCAAUUUCCUCGGUGACAUUUCUGCAGGCUCAUGUACAGAAGGACGGGGAAACAGAUUUAUAAUGAUAGCUAUUUCUAGCAAAGGUCAUUUCUUUCCUGGUGAACAACCUGUCCUUAGUCAUUCUGAUGAAGAGGUGAUGAAGGAGGAGGGAGAGGCUGCACAGCUUUAGAGAUUAACAGGGAAUAACAUAUGCAGAGCAUAGCUAAUCUUUGUACGUGGACCAGGACGCUUAAAAUCUUCCACCAUCAGGACGAAGUCAGGGAAUGAGAAUCAAAAUUGUGGGGAAAGUAGCAAAGGGGAUUUUUGUAGAGUUUGUGAAAGAGGCUGGAUAUCGUAGUGUCAGCAGAAGGAAAGGAAAAGGGAACCACAGAGCACGAGCGUGUAUUUUUGGAUAGCAAGAGCGUCCUUGGUGCUUGUAAGAACCAGGUCAGGCUGCUCUGGGGACUCCCUGAUCACCCCAGCAGCAUCCCAGCCUGAGCAGCACUCAGCAGCCCACGCUGUGCCAUUUCCAGGUGACGGUGAGGCGGGCAGGCACAAACACACACAAACACACGCAUAUACACCUCCACAGCUUUCUUCAGGCGAAGGACAGUUUU